CCGGAUCGUCCAAAACCUAUCCGACACGGGUGUGACAACAUUUUUGGAGGGUCCAAGCAGCAUAGUAUUGAUAGUGUAUUUUAUUUGCUUGAGAAUAUGACUACCAAGCUCCUUGAAUGAUUUUGCUGUGCUAGUAAUCUCUAUUAUUUCUAUUUCAGUGCACCUGAAAAAGGGGUUCAUCGCAAUAGACGAGUUUCACUACAAGUCUACUGGAAACGGUUGAUGAAAUUGAUAAGCAACUUUAUAAGAUAUGUCAUUUUCCCUGUAUAUGUGUUGUUUUUGUCGGAUAUAUUGUUGUUUCUUCCCUCAAAGAGUCUUUUGUGCACUAUUAGCUUUUGACUGCUGCAACUUUUAGAAUUUUAGCCAUGGAAUAGUAUGGCCUUGUCUUUUGAGAACAUCAAUCUCACUUGAAAUGAUGUUUAUAUAAGGUUGAGCCAAGUUUAUUAUUAUGAAUGAGCAUUUUCUAUAUGUUUAUUCAUGAAGUCUAAAGCUUCACCAUACAACAACUCACACACCCUGUGUUAUUUCACAAGUUGUAUCUGAGAAGAGUGAUGUGUACGCAGUCUUUUAUCUCUAUUUUGUGAAAAUAGAGAGGUGAUUUUUGAUAGAGUUUCGGUAAAGAUUCACUAUGAGGUUUACUAAUAUAUGUACUAAACAAACCUAACCUACCUAAUGUGAUAAAUUAGUAAUUAAAAUCUUGGUUUGUACUAUGAUUAGAAAUAUAAUUGGGGACUAACCUCCACUUGCUAGUUGGUUCCUCCCUCACUGAAAGAUUCUGGUAUUAAUUCAUUUGGGUUGGGAAGAUACUGAUUUGUUGUCAAUGUAUUCAGAAUCGCUAAAGUGUUUAGCGGCAUUUAAGUUGAAGCUUG
rnacentral:lncRNA from 1 species